GCUGAUCGUUGCCAUGGAGAUGGUAUAAGUGCAAUUAUCGCCUUCAGUAACUGCACACGGUUGGAAAGGGGAAGGCAGGCCUUAUGCUCGAUGGAACCACAGUUUUCUGAGUCUAUGCUUCUACGCAGCACCCUCAGGUUUGCGGUGAUAUCAAUAGUAACAGAUAUUGAUAAACGCAUGCCCAGACUGCACAGUUUCCCAGUUUGCAUCAGCUCUUGGAGGAGAGACCGGGAGUAAGACGGACGUGCUGGGGGUGCUCUGGUCCAUCACCUUGAGUGGUCCUGAGCUGCAAGUCGAGGAGGUCGGAGUGGAUCGCAGGGUGAAGAAAGACGGUCCCGGGUAUUUGAGCUCCACCUGUGUGCACGAAGAAAUUGAACUUUGAUAAGACUGGUGCCUUUUUCUUUUCCUUUUAUAUUGUAUCUCUAUAAA